rnacentral:rRNA from 1 species
ACGGGAGGCAGCAGUGAGGAAUAUUGGUCAAUGGGCGGGAGCCUGAACCAGCCAAGUAGCGUGAAGGAUGACUGCCCUACGGGUUGUAAACUUCUUUUAUACGGGAAUAAAAAAGGCCACGUGUGGCCUCUUGCAUGUACCGUAUGAAUAAGCAUCGGCUAAUUCCGUGCCAGCAGCCGCGGUAAUACGGAAGAUGCGAGCGUUAUCCGGAUUUAUUGGGUUUAAAGGGAGCGUAGGCGGGUCUUUAAGUCAGUGGUCAAAGCGUGUGGCUCAACCAUACCACGCCAUUGAUACUGGAGACCUUGAGUGCACAUAAGGAUGGUGGAAUUCGUCGUGUAGCGGUGAAAUGCUUAGAUAUGACGAAGAACACCGAUUGCGUAGGCAGCAGACCAGGCCGUAAAUGACGCUCAUGCACGAAAGUGCGGGGAUCGAACAGGAUUAAAUACCCUGGUA